rnacentral:rRNA from 1 species
UGCCAGCCGCCGCGGUAAUACGAAGGGUGCAAGCGUUGUUCGGAAUUACUGGGCGUAAAGGGCGCGUAGGCGGUCUGUUGCGUCAGGUGUGAAAGCCCUGGGCUCAACCUAGGAUGUGCACUUGAUACGGGCAGGCUAGAAUCCGGGAGAGGAUGGUGGAAUUCCCAGUGUAGAGGUGAAAUUCGUAGAUAUUGGGAAGAACACCGAUGGCGAAGGCAGCCAUCUGGACCGGUAUUGACGCUGAGGCGCGAAAGCGUGGGUAGCAAACAGGAUUAGAUA